AAUAGAUACCCCGGUAGUCCACGCCGUAAACGGUGGGCGCUAGGUGUGGGGGACUUUCCACGUCCUCUGUGCCGCAGCUAACGCAUUAAGCGCCCCGCCUGGGGAGUACGGCCGCAAGGCUAAAACUCAAAGGAAUUGACGGGGGCCCGCACAAGCGGCGGAGCAUGUGGCUUAAUUCGACGCAACGCGAAGAACCUUACCAAGGCUUGACAUGCAGGGAAAUCUCGUAGAGAUACGGGGUCCGCAAGGGCUCUGCACAGGUGGUGCAUGGUUGUCGUCAGCUCGUGUCGUGAGAUGUUGGGUUAAGUCCCGCAACGAGCGCAACCCUUGUCCUAUGUUGCCAGCGAGUAAUGUCGGGGACUCAUAGGAGACUGCCGGGGUCAACUCGGAGGAAGGUGGGGAUGACGUCAAAUCAUCAUGCCCCUUAUGUCUUGGGCUGCACACAUGCUACAAUGGUCGGUACAAAGGGCUGCGAGGCCGCAAGGUGGAGCGAAUCCCAAAAGCCGGCCUCAGUUCGGAUUGGGGU
rnacentral:rRNA from 1 species